rnacentral:lncRNA from 1 species
AAAGGAUCAUUAAUAGAGAUAGAAGAAAGAUUCAGAAAGAAUGGGGAAUUAAGGGAGGGGAUAGAAGAAGAAUUCAAUAGAAGAAGGGGAGGGAUGCGCCAUAAACCACCAAAAUAAUUAUUCGUUCAUCAUCAACUGAAAGUUACAAUGCAAAAUAGGUUUAAAUAGUAAAGCAACCCUAAUGAACUUGGGCCCGAGCCCAUACAAGUCCAAAUUUAAAUAAUAGUCCAAGAAAAUAAAUAAAGUUUAAAUAAAAUAAGUAAACGUCGUCCGAUAUCCUCAUCAACUCUCUCGGGGUGGAAGAAAAACUCGACCCCGUCGAGUGGAUAAAUCAAGAUGUUGCAAUGAAUCUGAUGCUAAAGGCUCCAAGUCAUGCCAUGGGGGACGAUCUUUCUGACGAACCAAAUAUCGAAAUUCCACAAAUGAUGACGAUGCCAAUUACAAAUUACUCGCAAAAACAUGAGCUGAUCAAGAUAACUUAGGCGAGUGAGAAUUUUGCUGACUCUUAUAAAGCUCCAAUAAAUUUGGCUCACGCCGCUGAAGUCUCUCUUUGGGAAUCCAUGUACCGUCAGAAUCAAGUCGAUCCAUCCAACGAACAAGAAAGCACUGAAUUUCUCUAUUAUUGGUCAACACAAGCUGUUCAUUCAAAAUAACAUCAAUUUUAUUUUUGUGUGCUAUGAUAGGUGGGAUUGAAGCAGACAUGACAAAAGAUUCAAUGUGGGAAUUCUCAUGUGGGAGCUUGCAAUAUAACAUAAUCCCCAAUAUUAAAUUCAAAGUAUUGUUUAUGCCAAUCAACUUGAAGUUUAUAUAAUGCUUUUCUUGUUUCAAAUUGUUUAUUGAUCUCAAUAUGCAAGCUAUGAAAAUGUGAUACAACUACCUCAACUGACAUAGACACACAAGCAUGUGAGUGCAUGAGAAUAAGGUCUAGAGGUUUCAAAGGUUCACAACCAAGAAUAAUUUCAAAGGGUUUUAGACCUAAAGACCAGUUCACAGGAUCGUUAUAUGCAAUUUGAACAAUUGGAGGGAUCAAGUCCCAAUUCUCAAGAUUUUUCUGGACUAGAGACUGUAAUAAAUUGUCAGGAUUUUGGUUAGUACUUUUGUUUUGACCAUCAAUUUGAAGUUGGUCAGUGGUGGAUAAUUUUGCCUUAGUGUUAACCACAGGCGACUGGAUUUUCCAAGGGUGACUGGUGACAUCAUCAAGCUCUUUAACUUGAGUAAGGGUAUGACAUAUAACAUGUGAUCGAGAAUUGUCGGAGAUAAGGGAUCUAGUAUCCAAAGUCUCGAGAAGAGUCUGGAUUCCACCUAAGGAAGUGUCCUCACUAUCAUCCAAGUCAUCAAAAUCUUCAAAUUUAGGUUCAUAGACUAGAUCUUCUAACGGCUCCUCUAUUACAUUAUUUCGUUCUUUCAUGACUAAGGUUCGAUUAGGACAUUUAGAAGAAAUGUGAUCAAAGUCUUUACAGUUGACGCACAACAAGUAAGAAGAAGACUUUGGAAUUUUAGAAAUUCUACCCUGAUUUUUCAAGAUUGGAGGAACAUCAGACGGGAGAGGCCCUAGAAGGGACUUAAUGGGAGGAAUUGGAGCCAAUGACACCGAAAGAUGAUUGUCAAUAUGCUUUCUACAUGAAAAAGAAGAUCUUGGACUCUCACAACCUUUACAAUUAUUUCUCCAAAUAGGAGGAACAUUAGACGGAGACGGUUUUAUGAUAGACUUAUGAUGAGGCGACGCUAAUGAGAUAGGUGAGCGACGAUAACCACGCUUUUCAUAUGGAGUACUAAUAAUCAACUCAUAAUCUCGAGCUAAAGAGUAAGCGCGAUCAAGAGUAGUGACACCUCGAAGGAAUAACUCGCGCUUAAGAUCAUUUCUCAGACCUUGGCUAAACCUACUGAAAGUCGUGUUCUCAUCCUCAAUUAAAUGACAUUUGGUUCGAAAUUCCUCAAAUUGCGCGAUAUACUCAGUUACUAAUUGAUUUCCUUGUUUAAGGGCAUUCCAUUGAGUAAGAAUUUCAAAAUUAUUUCAUUCUCGCUCACGAAUCUGAUCUCUAUUCCUAUCCCUAUCCUUACGAUCGGGUCGAAAGUAUUUUUGAUUACCCUGUCGACGAUGUUGUCUAUUCUGGGACUCCUUAGAAUUAUCAACAUCAAUCGAAUGAGGGAUGUGUUUAAAAUUUUUCAAACUAACAGAUAGGGCCUUACUCUUCAAGAGUAGCGGUCAUUUGAGUUUGAAUAGCCGCUAUUUGUCGAGUGAGUGCAUUGAAUUGUGAGGGAUUCAUGUUUAAGGUACUAGAGCUAGAAAUGACAAGAUGACCAAUAUGUAACUACCUGCACUGUAAUAGCAACUUAAUGACAUGCAAUAGAGAGAUCAACAAACAAAAAGUGCAAGUACUGGAAAAUGAAAAUUUGAGCUAUUUUUUAUUGUUAUUAUUAUUUUUUUUAAAUUUAAAUUUUGGGACUAAAAUUAUAUACAACAAGCUAGUACUGCUGGUAUAUGUAAAAUAACAAAGCAAUGGUCAAAUACUAGUCAAAACCUAAUCACGUAAAAUAUGCAGGUUCAAGUGAGAUUUAAAGAGGUCAAAGGAUCCAAUUACGUGAGUUUAGAUAAAAAUAGAUCAGCACCAGCACAAAAAUUUAAUUGAUGCAAUUUCAGAAUGAAACAGUAAUAUAAACCAACAAUAAAUAAAAGCAAGAACUUCCCUUUCGUUCGUCGAAGUAGUCAAGCUAGAUCAACCAGAAUAAAAGAUGUACAUGUAAAUAAUAUAAAAGAAGUUUCUUCUCUUUUUUUUUUUUCUUUUCUUUCUUCUUUUUUUUCACUUUUUUUUUUUGGAACUGCAGAAAACGAUAAAUAAAUAAAAAAGAAAUUUCGGGUGUGAACAGUACCCGUGAACAGUAACGAUUUUUUUUUUUUUUUUUGAAACUGCUGAAAAAUCUAUAAAAAAAAAAAAUUGAAAUUCCGGGUGUGAACAGUACGAUUUUUUUUUUUUUUUUGCCUAAUCAACUAGAAAGAAAAUUGAACAAGAAAACUGCUGCCUCAUAACAAUUUUUUUUUGUUUGUGCUGUUUCACAAGUUUUUGGGAAGAGGAUAGGAAGAAAGUUUUGGAUUGUGGAUGAAAAAUUACCCAUGUUUUGGCUCUGAUACCAAAUUUGAUGCAGCACCAAUGGGACAAUUCAUUGAAAAAUAGAACAGAUCUAUAGGGAGAAGGAAUUAAAGAGAAGAAUGAGGAAUUAAAGGGGGGAAGAAGAAGAAUUUAAUAGAAGAGGGCAGAAUAAGGGGAGGGAUGCGCCAUAAGCCACCAAAAUAAUUAUUCGUUCAUCAUCAACUGAAAGUUGCAAUGCAAAAUAGGUUUAAAUAGUAAGCAACCCUAAUGAGCUUGGGCCCGAGCCCAUACAAGUCCAAAUUUAAAUAAUAAUCCAAGAAAAUAAAUAAAGCUUAAAUAAAAUAAGUAAACGUCGUCCAAUGUCCUCAUCACAAACCAAACCGUGUGACACCACUAUAUCAAUCCUUUUUCAAUUAUUUUUAACUUUCAUACUUUCGAAUUCAUAUUUGACGCCACAACGGAAAUAUUCAUUUAUGGAGGGACAAAUAGUUACAAAAUAUUGACAAAUUUAGAGUCGCUAGUAAAAGCGUCAAUAAAAGGAACAUCGUGAUUUAAAAGUUCCACAGAUGACUAUCUUGACAAUUGGCUUCUAUAAGCAAAUUCCUCGUCGGUACAUCGAGCCUUAUAAAUAGUAAAAGAAAAAAAGAAGUUACUUUUAUAGUACGCAGAAUACUCUCAAAAUAAGUAAAAUUUUCACGAUAAUUUAGUAUUAAAAUUUGCUAAUAAAACUUCGACAUUAAUUCGACAAACUAAGAAUUGAAAUAAUUAAUAUCAAAAAAAUUUCCAAAUAAAUCUAUAUCAGUCGUAAAUUAAUUUUAAUUGACUUUAUAUAAAACAUUAAAUAAUAAUAAAACAACAAAAAU